CCUACGGGGGGCUGCAGUGGGGAAUAUUGGACAAUGGGGGGAACCCUGAUCCAGCCAUGCCGCGUGUGUGAAGAAGGCCCUCGGGUUGUAAAGCACUUUCAGUGAGGAAGAACGCCUGGUGGUUAAUACCCAUCAGGAAAGACAUCACUCACAGAAGAAGCACCGGCUAACUCCGUGCCAGCAGCCGCGGUAAUACGGAGGGUGCGAGCGUUAAUCGGAAUUACUGGGCGUAAAGCGCGCGUAGGUGGCUUGAUAAGCCGGUUGUGAAAGCCCCGGGCUCAACCUGGGAACGGCAUCCGGAACUGUCAAGCUAGAGUGAAGGAGAGGAAGGUAGAAUUCCCGGUGUAGAGGUGAAAUGCGUAGCGAGCGGGAGGAAUACCAGUGGCGAAGGCGGCCUUCUGGACUGACACUGCCACUGAGGUGCGAAAGCGUGGGUAGCAAACAGGAUUAGCUACCCCUGUAGUC
rnacentral:rRNA from 1 species